rnacentral:rRNA from 1 species
UACGUAGGGUGCAAGCGUUGUCCGGAAUUAUUGGGCGUAAAGGGCUCGUAGGCGGUUUGUCGCGUCGGGAGUGAAAUCCACUGGCUUAACUGGUGGCUUGCUUUCGAUACGGGCAGACUGGAGGUAUGCAGGGGAGAACGGAAUUCCUGGUGUAGCGGUGAAAUGCGUAGAUAUCUGGAGGAACACCGGUGGCGAAGGCGGCAUCCUGGACCGGCAUUGACGCUGAGGCGCGAAAGCCAGGGGAGCAAACGGG